rnacentral:lncRNA from 1 species
UAAGUACAUCCCUCCCUGGCAGAUGUAAGAAAGCUAUCACUUUGCUCCAGAUGAAGCGGAUUUAGAGUGAAGUGGCUGCUGAGGACAGGGUGGUGGGGAUCUGGCUAAAGCUCUGCAGCAGCUUGAGCUCAGACGUCACCAGGCUCUUGGUGGGCGAGGACAGGGGUCCCUGGAUCCUGCACCACAGGCUAAAUAAGCCAAGUCCUUCUGGAGGUAAGAAAAGAUACUGCUGAUUUCAAAGAAACCGCCUCAUUAAAAAGUAGCUUUUCCACUUGAUGAAAGAAUCUAGAACUGUGAAGGGAUCCUUUGCAGAGAAUCGACAUCACAACCGCAAACAACUCUCCAUGAUUUUUACUCCAAAAGCCUGAUUCAAUGGGAGAAAUCCCAGCCUUUCAGCCUCCAAUUGUGAUAAAUCACGAAGAGAGCAAUGCCUAGAUCAACAUGCAGUUCUGAAAAAUCUUAACCCUUGCUCUUCUCAAUUCCCAUACUGUACAUCACCAAAAUCAGGAGCAACUGGAAAAAGACAACAUGAGAAACUGGACGUUCUUUGCCACCAGCAGGGCUGUGCUAGGAGCAGACAGCAUUAACUGUGCGGAGGUCUUGUUGAGAAUGUUUAGUCUGAAUUUAAUCGUGAGGUCAUUAUCAGACAAUGGCAGAAUUUAGACCGCUGAACAAGUCAACUGGCCUGUCUUUCUUCAAACAGUCAAUAUCAUCACAAGUAAGAUGACAAAAAGGAGAAGAGAUAUUUUGGGAUCCAAAGGACUGAAAAGAUUAUGUUACUAUACUUCUUUAGUCCUUUUGAGCCGAAGACAUUCCUCACCUUUUUGUGAUUGCCUGCGAUGGUGGUGACAUUGCCUUGUUUGUAGAGGACAGGUCAGUCGUCUGGCUCAAUGGUCUACAUUCUCAAGUUGUCUGACCAUUUCCUCAUGAUUAAAUUCAGGCUCACACUUUUGCCGAGAACACUUCACAGUUAAUGCUGUGUGCUUCCUAGCGCAGCCCACCCAGAGACCAGAAUGACCAGUUUAUCCACCACCAUUACUGUGAGAACAUUGGUCACUUUGUUAUGGAGGGGCCUAGGAGAUCUGUCCAUUGUAAAGACACAUUUUUUUCUUUCUAUAAUCAGUAAUUUGGGGAAAGGUACUUUGAGAGUGUGUGAAUAUCCUCUUCUCUAAAGAUCUUUUUCUAAAACUUUUACCAUCCAUUCAUGAUCCCUGCUGUGUGUCGAUUGUCAUAUUGGUGUUUGUACAUUGGGGAUCUUCCAAUUUUAUCAUUCCUAUAUACAUGUAUUUGCUGGCCUUGUGCUGUGGAAAAGAACAUUCC